GACGAACGCUGGCGGCGUGCUUAACACAUGCAAGUCGAACGGAAAGGCCCUGCUUUUGUGGGGGGCUCGAGUGGCGAACGGGUGAGUAACACGUGAGUAACCUGCCCUUGACUUUGGGAUAACUUCAGGAAACUGGGGCUAAUACCGGAUAGGAGCUCCUGCUGCAUGGUGGGGGUUGGAAAGUUUCGGCGGUUUGGGAUGGACUCGCGGCUUAUCAGCUUGUUGGUGGGGUAGUGGCUUACCAAGGCUUUGACGGGUAGCCGGCCUGAGAGGGUGACCGGCCACGUUGGGACUGCGAUACGGCCCAGACUCCUACGGGAGGCAGCAGUGGGGAAUAUUGCACAGUGGGCGGAAGCCUGAUGCGGCAACGCCGCGUGCGGGAUGACGGCCUUCGGGUUGUAAACCGCUUUCGCCUGUUACGAAGCGUGAGUGACGGUAAUGGGUAAAGAAGCACCGGCUAACUACGUG
rnacentral:rRNA from 1 species